AAGGAUAAUCUGUGUCCUCGCAAAAACAGAAAGAAACUGCUGGGAUUCCAGAAUAUGCAAGGAAAGGGAAAGCAGCAUUGUCUAAAGUGAGUUUCUCAACUUUGCUGGCCCAGUUGCUGUCCUGAUAUAGAAAUUGCCCAGUAACCGGAUGCUUCACAUUUUGCAUUGUUUUCUCAAUAAGCGUAUACAACAGUGGGCUGGCAGAAACCUUGAAGUUGCUG
rnacentral:misc_RNA from 1 species